AUUACUUCGUAGUUGAAACAACAUCCUUUUUUGUGCGCGCUUAUGCGCAAAAAAGAUAUAGUGGAUAGCGCGACCCUUG
rnacentral:sRNA from 1 species